GAUGAACGCUAGCGGCAGGCCUAAUACAUGCAAGUCGAGGGGCAGCAUGAUUGUAGCAAUACAAUUGAUGGCGACCGGCAAACGGGUGCGGAACACGUACACAACCUCCCAAUAAGUGGGGAAUAGCCCAGAGAAAUUUGGAUUAAUACCCCGUAACAUAACGAUGUGGCAUCACAUUGUUAUUAUAGAUUUUUCGCUUAUUGAUGGGUGUGCGGCUGAUUAGAUAGUUGGCGGGGUAACGGCCCACCAAGUCUACGAUCAGUAGCUGAUGUGAGAGCAUGAUCAGCCACACGGGCACUGAGACACGGGCCCGACUCCUACGGGAGGCAGCAGUAAGGAAUAUUGGACAAUGGACGCAAGUCUGAUCCAGCCAUGCCGCGUGAAGGAUUAAGGUCCUCUGGAUUGUAAACUUCUUUUAUAAGGGACGAAAAAAGGCUUUUCUAAGUCGUCUGACGGUACCUUAUGAAUAAGCACCGGCUAACUCCGUGCCAGCCGCCGCGGUAAUAC
rnacentral:rRNA from 1 species